GCGUCAGUAGUGCAACGGGUUAAAGCACGCUCUCCCGGAUAGAUGAGAUGUGGGUUCGAGUCUCGCCUGACGAG